rnacentral:lncRNA from 1 species
CAUUUUAACACGGGAUUUAGGUCCCAAAACAAUAUCUUUGCCUCAUAAUUCACAUUCCACUCAAAAUUAAAGGAAAUUCCUCUCAAGAACAAACCUUAGCACCUUCAACAUUCAAGUUUAAUUCUCAAGAAAUCCACCAAGAACCUUCACGAAUACUUUGAUUAAGGUAUGUUAGAUGUUUAUCCAUGGACCCUUUUCACUCAUGGA